AUGGAACAUAAAAUCAAAAUUUUCCUUUUAGUUACACUCUUGAUCUUAAUUCCUUUUCCUUUAUCUUCAGGGUUAGCCGACGAAGAAUUCAGAGAAAAUAUACUUCCUACUCAUCACUUUUUUGACAAGGAUGGUAUAAAGACAAACUCAAGGAAGCUAUUGUCCCAUGAUUUUGUGUUGGAUUAUGAUGAGGCAGGACCCAACCCAAAGCAUUCAAAGAAACCAGGCAAUGGCAAGGGUCCUUAA